AUGGUGACUGCUGAGCCCCGGUAAGUACCUUAUUAUGUUAAAUUAAGGUGACAAACGUUUCUUAAAUCAAAACAAAACCUAGCGUAUCAUAUGCGCGUUAAUUUUCUUCAAAUGACAAUACAAAGUGCAUUAUCCUACGUUUUGUGGUUUUUGAGAACAUUGUUUGAAUUGUGUGAAAAUUGCACAUUCAGCGAUAGUAAUUCGCACGAAGCGAUAUAACUUGGUACCAAAAUAAAUGAAAAUAAGCCUUCUUUUUGCACUUAAGACACCAAAUCAAUCAUUUUAUUGACAUCUGUUCUUGUAGAAUUCCAUAUAAAAUUUUGUUCGAAGGUCUGUAGCCUACAAAUGUUCUUUGCAAGUGUUUAGUAAGUAAAACGAACAAUUUCUGGAUAGUAAGUUGCACGAAAACAAAAUAGUAAGUUUCACGCACAGUUUCCAAUAGCUUACUAAAAUGUGACGAAACUAUUUUAUAAUUCUUUUGGUUUCAAAUUUGCAAGUGUAUUCCGUCUACGGUAACAGAGAAACAAAUAUCGAGAGAGUAUUUUAAUAAUAAUUCAUAUUAUUUCAUAAUACAUGUAUUCAUAUAAUUUCAUAAAAUAUUACUUAACUUAAAAAAAACUAAAUGAGACAUAUUGACAUUAAUACUCAACAAUGUACGUUACACUUGGCCCUUUUUCACGUUAGACUGGACCCACAUCCGUCAUCUUUAGAACUAAAGAAAUAACUGUGCAGAAGGAAAUAUUACAACACCAUCAUUUACUUUUCAGUAUUUGCAAUUUGGACCAAAAACGCAAAGGAGAAGACAUUCGCCAUAUCACAUUGAUAUUUAAUGCCAUCAUAGAACUGUAAAAUAAGGGCCAAGACACACCUGAAACUGCAAAGGUCAAAGAACUACUAUCGCAACAGAAAAAUAACACUGAGCCGUGUAAUAUCAAAUCCCAUCAAAAGUUCAUUUGAUAUAUUAUAAUAACAACCAAUUAAGCAUUCGUCCUAUAGACAAAAAGUGAAAUAUUUGAACUUGAAUAAUUGAAAUAAGUAUUUUCUAUCGCUUUACAUAUGAACUUUAACUUUCUUUUAAUGUAUAUGUAUGCUAAUGGAAACUGUGCGUGAAACUUACUAUUUUGUUUUCGUGCGACUUACUAUCCAGAAAUUGUUCGUUUUACUUACUAUACACUUGCAAAGAACAUUUGUAAGCUACAGACCUUCGAAAAUAUAUUUUAUAUGGACUUCUACAAGAACAGAUGUCAAUAAAAUGAUUGAUUUUGUGUCUUAAGUGCAGAAA